rnacentral:rRNA from 1 species
UACGUAGGGGCUAGCGUUAUCCGGAAUUACUGGGCGUAAAGGGUGCGUAGGCGGUCUUUCAAGCCAGAAGUGAAAGGCUACGGCUCAACCGUAGUAAGCCUUUGAAACUGGGAAACUUGAGUGCAGGAGAGGAGAGUGGAAUUCCUAGUGUAGCGGUGAAAUGCGUAGAUAUUAGGAGGAACACCAGUUGCGAAGGCGGCUCUCUGGACUGUAACUGACACUGAGGCACGAAAGCGUGGGGAGCAAACAGGAUUAGAUACCCCGGUAGUCCCUGAG